AGACUAUUCCCUGGACUCUGUAUAAGGAGUACAUGAAUCAUCUGGUGGAUCAGGGCGCUCUGAUGCUCAUGCUCACCGGACGGGUCAAUCAGUCCAAACAGAUUCUGGCCACACGGUUCAACUUCACCUCUAGAUGGCACUGUGGUGUGUAAAGAGUUGACAGUCAAGAUCACGUUCCAGAACCCGCUGACGCAAGUGUUGAAGAACGUUUUGUUCCGGAUAGAGGGAUUGGGAAUGCAGAGCGUCAGAAAGAUCCCGUAUGGUGAUGUGGAGAAGCUUGCGACGGUUACACUGAUGGAGAAGUUUGUUCCCACCGUCUCCGGCUCUCAGAAGCUCCUGGCAUCGAUGGACUGCCGUCAGCUCACUCAGGUUCACGGAUUCACCGAUAUUGUGCUCAAACCAAAGUGAAAAACUCUUUCAUUGUGAAGCUUUCUAAUGCUCUCGCUUCUCUUUAAGAAUAUUUACUAGAUUUAAUGAUCAUCUACACUAAAUAAUAGCUAAUUCAGUAUUUUCAUUCCCAACUGAUGAAAGUCAACAAUAAAGAUCCUGUUUUAUUCAUAUCCUGUCUGUUGUUUACUAUGAGUAGAUAGUAAACAUCGCUCUCCAGAGUGUAUUUGCAUAAUAAUAAAACAAGCUGUUUAGUUUAUAAGCAAUUUCAGUAAAAGAAUUGAACACUUGU